AUUGGGGCCCUCAUGCCUACGUAUCCUCAUAGUGCAAUGAGGAAUUCAGAGCUUCGUAGUUCAUGGAACUAGAGGCAGGAGGUGGAAAGGAAUGUGAUCAAAGUAUGGUCUGAACCAAAGAAUGUUGUUAUUUGAACUCCAAAAAAGGUGAAAAUGUGAACCCAAGAGUAGACAGGUAUGUACCGACAAGUGGGGGCGUAUAACACUUAUAUCAUUGUACUGGAACAACCGAUAAAAAGAGGAAUUGAGUGUUUUGGGUAGGAUCCAAACAACUCUUGGUUCACAAAGAGGUGCAAG
rnacentral:lncRNA from 1 species